rnacentral:rRNA from 1 species
UACGGAGGGUGCGAGCGUUGUCCGGAAUCACUGGGCGUAAAGGGCGCGUAGGUGGCGACUCAAGUCAACGGUGAAAGCUCGACGCUCAACGUCGAGUCGGCCGUCGAAACUGGGACGCUUGAGCACUGUAGAGGCAGAUGGAAUUCCGGGUGUAGCGGUGGAAUGCGUAGAGAUCCGGAGGAACACCGAAGGCGAAGGCAGUGUCCUGGCUGGUGACUGACGCUGAGGUGCGAAAGCUAGGGGAGCGAACGGG